rnacentral:misc_RNA from 1 species
GUGAGAACGCAACGAAAUGCGAUACUUGGUGUGAAUUGCAGAAUCCCAUGAACCAUCGAGUCUUUGAACGCAAGUUGCGCCUCAAGCCAUUAGGUUGAGGGCACGUCUGCCUGGGCGUCACAUAUCGUUGCCUGAUGCCAGUUUCCUCGUGAUGGGUGACUGUGCAGGGCGAAUGAUGGCUUCCCGUGAGCAUUGUUGCCUCAUGGUUGGUUGAAAAUUGAGUCCUUGGUAGGGAGCGCCGUGAUAGAUGGUGGUUGAGUGACGAACGAGACCCAAUCAUGUGAGACCCCUACCGAAUUUGGCCUUCAUGACCCACAUGCGUCUUUGGAACGCUCAUGACGAGACCUCAGGUCAGGCGGGGCUACCCGCUGAGUUUAAGCAUAUCAAUAAGCGGAGGA